ensembl:misc_RNA
GCCGCUGUGGCCGAGCCAGAGCCGUGUUUAAACAAGCUAUAAAAAUGAAUUAUUACCAAAUGCAUGCAGAGACUCAGCCCCCUUUUUUUAGCUCAGGAAUUGGGGAGUCCCAUAUGAAAAUGUAAGUGGGGUUUUAUUUGUGCACAUUACGCCACAAUUGGUCUCCUUAAUGUCCGUCUCAUUCAUGCCACGGAGUGAUUUAUGAGCUCCUGAAGGCAAACAUGGCUC